rnacentral:tRNA from 1 species
GAAAAUAAAGGCAGAAGAAUCAGAGCGUGGCUGCUAACUAUGCUUUAGGUGGUUUAAUUCCAUCUUGUUUUU